rnacentral:rRNA from 1 species
UACGAAGGGUGCAAACGUUGCUCGGAAUUAUUGGGCGUAAAGCGCACGUAGGCGGCUUAGCAAGUCGGAAGUGAAAUCCCACGGCUCAACCAUGGAAGUGCUUUCGAAACUGCUGAGCUUGAGUACAAAAGAGGAUCGCGGAAUUCCCGGUGUAGAGGUGAAAUUCGCAGAUAUCGGGAAGAACACCCGUGGCGAAGGCGGUUCUCUGGGACGGUACUGACGCUGAGACGCGAAAGCGUGGGGAGCGAACAGG